rnacentral:rRNA from 1 species
UACGGAGGAUCCGAGCGUUAUCCGGAUUUAUUGGGUUUAAAGGGUGCGCAGGCGGGAUGUUAAGUCGGCGGUGAAAUUUUGCAGCUCAACUGUAAAAGUGCCUUCGAUACUGGCUUCCUUGAGUGUGGAUGAAGUAGGCGGAAUUUGUGGUGUAGCGGUGAAAUGCUUAGAUAUCACGAGGAACUCCGAUUGCGCAGGCAGCUUACUAAACCACUACUGACGCUCAUGCACGAAGGCGUGGGGAUCAAACAGGAUUAGAUACCU